AUACGAAGGGUGCAAGCGUUACUCGGAAUUACUGGGCGUUAAGCGUGCGUAGGUGGUUGUUUAAGUCUGUCGUGAAAGCCCUGGGCUCAACCUGGGAAUGGCGAUGGAAACUGGGCGACUAGAGUGUGGCAGAGGGUAGUGGAAUUCCUGGUGUAGCAGUGAAAUGCGUAGAGAUCAGGAGGAACAUCCGUGGCGAAGGCGACUGCCUGGGCCAACACUGACACUGAGGCACGAAAGCGUGGGGAGCAAACAGGAUUAGAUACCCUGGUAGUCCACGCCCUAAACGAUGCGAACUGGAUGUUGGGUGCAAUUUGGCACGCAGUAUCGAAGCUAACGCGUUAAGUUCGCCGCCUGGGGAGUACGGUCGCAAGACUGAAACUCAAAGGAAUUGACGGGG
rnacentral:rRNA from 1 species